AUUGAACGCUGGCGGCAGGCCUAACACAUGCAAGUCGAACGAGUGGCGGACGGGUGUGUAAUGUCUGGGACACUGCUUGAUGGAGGGGGAAAACUACUGGAAACGGUAGCUAAUACCGCAUACCAUCAGAUGUUCCCAGGUGGGAGUCGCUAGUUGGUGGGGUAACGGCUCACCAAGGCCACGAUCCCUAGCUGGUCUGAGAGGAUGACCAGCCACACUGGAACUGAGACACGGUCCAGACUCCUACGGGAGGCAGCAGUGGGGAAUAUUGCGCAAUGGGCGCAAGCCUGAUGCAGCAAUGCCGCGUGUGUGAAGAAGGCCUUCGGGUUGUAAAGUACUUUCAUCGGGGAGGCGUUACCCGCAGAAGAAGCACCGGCUAACUCCGUGCCAGCAGCCGCGGUAAUUC
rnacentral:rRNA from 1 species